CCUACGGGAGGCAGCAGUGGGGAAUUUUGGACAAUGGGCGCAAGCCUGAUCCAGCCAUGCCGCGUGCGGGAAGAAGGCCUUCGGGUUGUAAACCGCUUUUGUCAGGGAAGAAAUCCCUUGAGCUAAUACCUCGGGGGGAUGACGGUACCUGAAGAAUAAGCACCGGCUAACUACGUGCCAGCAGCCGCGGUAAUACGUAGGGUGCAAGCGUUAAUCGGAAUUACUGGGCGUAAAGCGUGCGCAGGCGGUUAUGUAAGACAGGUGUGAAAUCCCCGGGCUUAACCUGGGAACUGCACUUGUGACUGCAUAGCUUGAGUGCGGCAGAGGGGGAUGGAAUUCCGCGUGUAGCAGUGAAAUGCGUAGAUAUGCGGAGGAACACCGAUGGCGAAGGCAAUCCCCUGGGCCUGCACUGACGCUCAUGCACGAAAGCGUGGGGAGCAAACAGGAUUAGAUACCCUGGUAGUCCACGCCCUAAACGAUGUCAACUGGUUGUUGGACGGCUUGCUGUUCAGUAACGUAGCUAACGCGUGAAGUUGACCGCCUGGGGAGUACGGCCGCAAGUUGAACUUAGAGAUG
rnacentral:rRNA from 1 species